CACGAAUGCUUUGCUAUAUAUUACCGUGUACCGGUAUUGGUGUCAAAAAAAAUUGCCGGCAUCGUUUGAAAAAAGCUGGUAUUGCCCAUCUCUAACUGUCACAAGUAGUGAUGACAGAAAACCAAAUGAAUAUAUCUGUAUCAGGUGGCAAUGUUUUUAUUGGUGAUCACAUGACAGUUAACCUUACUCCUACUGGUAUUUCCAGUGAAGUA